CUGCAAAAUAUAUGAAGAAUAUAUCAAAAAAAUAAAAAUAAUUUGAUUCAUAAAUUAAUAUUUUUAUGGAUAAAUUUAUGCACUUAUCACAUGUCGAUUGAGUUGACCCAGUGAAAAUUGAGUCGACCCAGCCCCAAUGAAAGAAAAAGAUAGAAAUGUUAAUUUGAAAGUCAGAAGACUUAGUCGAUCUAGAAUUCAAGUUAGUCAAUCA
rnacentral:lncRNA from 1 species